rnacentral:rRNA from 1 species
UCCAGAGGGUGCGAGCGUUAAUCGGAAUUACUGGGCGUAAAGCGCACGUAGGCGGCUUGGCAUGUCGGGUGUGAAAUCCCCGGGCUCAACCUGGGAACUGCAUCCGAAACUGCCUUGCUAGAGUAUGGGAGAGGGAAGUGGAAUUUCCGGUGUAGCGGUGAAAUGCGUAGAUAUCGGAAGGAACAUCAGUGGCGAAGGCGACUUCCUGGACCAAUACUGACGCUCAGGUGCGAAAGCGUGGGGAGAAAACAGG